CUAAAGUGAAUGUACUAACAAUCCUAAAGCAUGUUUCCAACUGGAGUGUCUCGUAUGUCCCGUUUAAAGCUAAGAUAGAUACAAAUAAUAAAGUAUUAGACAUUGAGUAUGUCACAUACUCUUACCUGAUAAUGCAAUAUUUUUAGUCAUUCAACUUCAAAGCAAUGAUCUCUUUUUUUUGGUCUACAAAACAAUAACAAUUAAAACAAGCAAGACUUUCCACAAUAUAGGAAAGAGAAAUAGAAGAAGCAACUAUAUUGAACAACCUUCAUCAUUUUCUUCUCACAAUCACAAUGUUCUCAUUGAAUGGUACCACUUUACGAAUAAUUCGUUCGGUGGGAUUUCAAAAUGUUUGACCCAGUCAAAGAAAAAGGUGUCAGUCCCUAUGGUGGUGGUGAGAUCAAAUGGAAGAGGUGCAGAUAGGAAUGUAAGUGUUUUAAUGGAGAAUAAUUUGAAGGAAAUGAAGGAAAGUGUUGCAAUAAUAGACAAAGAUUCUAAAUCUACAGUCACUGGUGGUGUUGGGGAUGUGAAGAUCAAACCAUCACCCCUUGGACCUUCUCUAUUGCGGAUACUCACUGUUGCAUGAUCUACACUAGAACAAAGGGCUAGCUUUCAGUGAGAAAGAGAGGGAUUCCCACUAUUUGAGUGGUCUUCUUUCUCCUGUGGUUGUCGAUCAGGAGCUUCAGGUCGUCCAUGUUACUUCUUGCAUAUCCUUAAUUAUAACUCUCCCAAUCUUUCUCUUCCUGACCAAACGGAAGCUCUCUGUGCUUAACUGCAGACUUGUGUCACUUCUUCUAUCAUGUUAAGAAAGUGAUGAAUGUUCUGUAUGAUGUACCCACUACAAAGGUACAUGGCCAUGAUGGAUCUUCAGGUAGUAGCACAAAUGAUUUUAAUAUCUCCGUGUGUUGCUCGUGAUUAGUGUCUGCUCUGUUAAUAUAUAUUAUGUUGAGCAUUAACCAAACAGAUCUUGCUUGGAUCAAGUCCUCCUACGUCUUUAUGCCCAUUUUUAUUAGCAUCAUAAUACAAAAAAUUCUUGUCAUAUGUAUCCUGGUGCAGGAGAGAAAUGAGAGGCUAUUCUACAAGCUUCUUAUGGAAAGCAUAAAAGAGCUGCUCCCGAUAGUUUAUACUCCAACAGUAGGUGAAGCAUGCUAGAAGUAGAAUCUUCAAACGUCCUCAAGGUCUUUUUAUCAGCUUGAAAGAAAAGAAUGUGUUUGGAAUUCUAACAGAUAAUUCUCAAAUUUAGUGGUACAUGGGUUUCCUUAUUACAUUUAGAUCUGAAAUGCGAUAGCCAUUUGCAGAGGCAAAAUUCUUGAGGUAUUAAAGAAUUGGCCUGAGAAGAAAUUCAAGUUAUUGUUGUAACUGAUAGAGAACGAAUAUUGGGCCUUGGCGAUCUAGGUUGCCUGGUAUGUUUUAUAUGAACUUCACCAAACACUUUUUGGAAUUAAAAUAGGUGAUUCCCAAGGAUAAUAGAAAGCUAAUUAUCUGUCUGUUUAACUGAUGUUCUCAGUUUUCUACGCACCAAUGUAUGUUUUAACAUGUCUGGCCACAUAUUUCUGUUAGGUUUCUAUAGCCAUAUUAAUGACAAUCGUAAUUCAUCUUGACAGGGAAUGGGGAUACCAGUAGGGAAACUCUCUUUAUACACCGCUCUUGGAGGCAUUCGUCCGUCAGCUGUAAGUUUAUGUGAAAAUGCUUGCUAAGACUCCAUUGAUGAAGCUAAGAGGAGGAGAAGAAUAAAAAAUUAUAACUGCUUCUUAAACUUGUGUUACCCUCUGAGAUUUGUGAGAUGUUGUGCCUUAUAUAGGCUGUAAAAGGGAUACAAAAUAUCUAAUAACUACUUCUUUCUAGAACAUUCUAUUUGACAGCUCAUUGUAACUAACUAAUAAUUAUCUAACAACCUCUAACAACCUUCAACCACUUAUACAGCUGACUCAUCAGUCGGCUAACUAACUAACUGAAUAACUACUCUUAUCAGUAUUACCUAUCAAUGGAA